rnacentral:rRNA from 1 species
AUGCCAGACUCCUACGGGAGGCAGCAGUGAGGAAUAUUGGUCAAUGGGCGCGAGCCUGAACCAGCCAAGUCGCGUGAGGGAAGACGGUCCUAUGGAUUGUAAACCUCUUUUGCCGGGGAGCAACGGGGUCCUUGCGAGGGCCCGAUGAGAGUACCCGGAGAAAAAGCAUCGGCUAACUCCGUGCCAGCAGCCGCGGUAAUACGGAGGAUGCGAGCGUUAUCCGGAUUUAUUGGGUUUAAAGGGUGCGUAGGCGGGCUGUUAAGUCAGCGGUCAAAUGUCGGGGCUCAACCCCGGCCUGCCGUUGAAACUGCAUCCCUUGAGUGCGCGAGAAGUAUGCGGAAUGCGUGGUGUAGCGGUGAAAUGCAUAGAUAUCACGCAGAACUCCGAUUGCGAAGGCAGCAUACCGGCGCGCAACUGACGCUGAAGCACGAAAGCGUGGGUAUCGAACAGGAUUAGAUACCCCAGUACU